CUGAGGUGACCAUACAAAUCCUCCGAUAACAGUGGAUACCAGCUGUAGACUGCAGCUUUUCAGCUUCUACAAUUUUUCAAAAAACGACAUACAAAUUCAAAGCACAGAGGUUUACUGAAGGAUUCUGACUAUUUUUAGUUUGACAAAAAUCUUUCUGUGGAGGAAUUGAAAUAAUAACUAACUGAAUAACUAACCAAAUGUUAGCAUUGUAAUCCUGAGUGCCUUUCAUCUGUACGCACCGUCCUGUCUCCUAUCUUCACUCUCCUAGGGGGACAUGAAUAAACAGGGUGGCUUCAAAAAGUCACAGAAUGACUAUGGGAAGACCAAACACAGAUGAACUGAGAUGCAAACAAAAACUCCACCAUGAGAAACUCUUCCUGUGGGGAUUUUUCAGACCAGGAAACAUGGACAUAGCAGCGUCCACAGAGAGGCAUGGAAAUCGGCAAAAUGGCAGAUGAAGCACUAUGAUUGAUAGAAUUGCAGCUUCUUAUGACUACAUUUAUUCCACAAUAAGAGCCACCAACUUGGCUGCUUUUUUAUUUUUAACGAGUUCCCCAGUGCACCAUUCCAUCCUUUUUCCUGUCACUUGAAGUAGAAAGAUGAUCCAUUUGCCCAUCUGAGAGAAAGGUUAAAAAAGGGAGGAUGGUCUUCCAGUGGACUUCUAAAAAAAAAAUUAAAAAGCCAGUGAGCGUCUGCAUGUCAAGCAAAUGUUAUAACCAUCAUGUUACUGGAACACCAUUAUCAAUAAUAGCUGCAGCAGAGAUUGGAAGGCUUCAGGGUGCUGACUAUUGUUCUAGGUACAGGGUGUUCUUGCCACUGCACGCCAUAACUAGUCAAAGUGCAGAAAAGUAAAGCACAUCAGGCAGAGCAGGUAACAUUGCUUGAGCUGGCCCAAACCAAAAAACACUACUUUCAACACACAGCAGGAAAAAACAGGCAGUGGUCACAUUUGCAGUAAAUUUGGAGUGACUAGAGGACAUCAUCACCUGCUCCUACCCUCCAUAAACAGUUGGAAGCCUAUACUCAUGAUGGGGGAAACUGGCAGGGCAGAUAUUUUUCAAAAUAUAAAUGAGUAAAAGCUUCAGAUUAGCACAGUUUGUUUCUAUGUCAUUCGGCAUUCCAUUUCAAGCAUUCCCAGCCUGAAAAGGAUUUCAGGAUUUUAUAUCAACAUUCAGAAAGCUGGUCCCCAUUAAUAUUAUGAAGAAAUACAGUCAACUGAAUAGAUGUGUCAUAUUUAUCAGGUAAAAAGAUCUACAUAUUGUUAAUGUUAUUAAUUUAAUUAGCAGUCAUCUCUCAACCAGGUUGCAGUAGUUCGUUUUACACGGGGCUGCCUUUGAACACUACCCAGAAACUUCAGGUGGGGCAGCCUGUGGCUGCUCAUGUGAUAGUGGGUCAGUGUAGUUAUUGCCAUAUUAUACUGGAGCUGCUAAUUUUAUCCUAAUUUUCAUAGACUACCAAAUUGAUGACCAUCAGAUGUACUGGAUGUCAGUUUCCAAAGUUCUCAGACAGUUUAGCUCCAACACCUGUGGCAAUGUGGAGAACUGACAAGGGUGAUGUUCUGACAAGGUUACCUAAGUGGUUUUUCAGUCUGUAGAUCUUGAGGAAGUGACAGGGUCCUUCAUGGUGGUAGUUCUGUCAUAUAUAGGUUUGAUCCUUGCCCCUCAUGACUGGUCCAGGAGGGACUUAGGAGCUGGGUCCUGACAAUGAUAAAUUUCUCGCUGGGAAAGGAAGAGGUGUUAAUUUGCCCUCCUCCUCAAAAGCUCUAUUGGACCCAGCAAUUUUGGACAAUUAUUGGUCUAUCUCUAACCUUCCCUUCUUAGAGAAAGUUUUGUAGAGAGAGGUAGAAUGGCAAUUGCCAAGGAUUCAGGAAGAAGUAGAUUGCCUAAAUCCCUGGCAAUCAGGAUUUAGAUUCAGGCAUGGGACAGAAACCACAUUUUGUUCUCUUGGAUGACCUUUGUGGAACCAAGGAUGUAAGGACCAUGAUCAUCCUUGUCCUGCUGUAUGUCUCAGCAGCAUUCAAGAGCAUAUAUCAAAAUAUCCUUCUGAAUCACCAGCAGGAGUUCAGAAUGGGAGGCAACAUAUGAUGGUUUCUUUCCUUCCUUAUUGGGUGAUUCCAGUCAGUAGUUAUGAGAGAGGAGAGAUCGAAUUCUCAAACCAAGAUGAAGUGCUCAGGUCUCAGUCUUCUCCCUCAUUCUGUUUAAUACCUACAUGAAGCUCCCGGGAGAGAUUAUCCACUGGUUCAGGGUCGGGUAUCAUAAUAUGCUGAUGAUACACAGUUAUAUAUCUCCACCCAAAGCUGAAUGGGAGAUGCUUGGAAGCUGCCAGGAACUGGGUGGAGAGAAACAGGCUCAAUUUCAGCUGAAGCAACACAUAUGGGCUUUUCAUUCAGAAGUCUGCCAAUUCUAGGACUGUACCAAGCCUGGGCAGGGUUGUCCUCCCCUGAAAGUACAGGCUUGCAAUCUCAUGACUUCUUCUAGAACAGCAGUUUGACAUCAUAGCCUUUUCCCAGCUUCAGCUGAUGUGCCAGCUGUGGCCAUUUCUGGAAUAUGAAAUGCUGAAUAUACUCAUGCCCAUGUCACCUCUCUCAGUCAGAUUGCUGUAAUUCAUUUUACAUGGGGCUGUCCUUGGCAGGUUACUCAGAAACUCCAGGUGGGGCAGAAUACAGCUGCCCAUAGGAUAAUGGGUCAAUCCAUUACUGCCAUAUUCCACUGCUAUUAAACCAACUACCAGUUUGUUUCUGAGUGAAAUUCAAGGUACUGGUUAUCACCUAUGAAGUCCUAAAUGGCUUGGGCCUCUGCGAGACCACCUAUUUUGGGUAGAAGCUGUCUGCACAAUGUUCACAGAACAUGCCUGCUGAAAGUUUCCACUUAUGAGAAUGGAGUAUUCUCUGUGGGUCCACGGCCUACUCCCCUCACCCUCCAAUAGAGCAGUUUGCCCCCAUAAAGGCUCCUUUUUGGAAAAGAAGUUAAAAUCUGGUUAUUUCAGAAGUCUUUCAGAGACUAGAAUCUGAGUGUAGUCCAUUGCUAUGAAUAUUGUUCUUCACUGAAGUUACUGAAUGCAUUUACUGUAUUGUAAUCUUACUGUGCUAUUUAUUUGAUAUAUUGUUAACUUGUGCAUCACUUAGAGUCACUUAUGACUGAUGUGUUAUGAAAGUCUCAUUAAUAAAGACAAA